GGGGGGCGCUAUCCUUCUGUCCUACAGCAUAUUGGUUUUCCUCCAUGCCAGACUUGGUACGUCGUCAUGCCCGCAAAGGGUAACGUGAGAUGUUCCACAACAGCUCGACCAAGAAAGAAACAGUUACUGUUUGUUUAUUCAGGGUCAUAGUGUGUGUGUUGAUACGCAAACUCUGGCAUUGGAGGGGAAAACCAAAACAACGCCGUUCUACCUGCCUGUGUCACCUGCUGUUUUAGUGACACUGCAGCCGGUCAAUCAGACCCUCACAGUGACAACACAACACUAAAUUGACAACCGCUUGGGUGCUUUAUGCUUUGUCUAAGCCCGGUGGACGGCAUCAUUGGGGAAUAAAAAAUAGUAGAUCAGUAGGGUCCCAUUGGAAAAGAAUGGGAGUCCAAAAGACAGCUGAAAUGCUGGAAACAAACAUCCACCCCUGAUUGUUUUGCCAAGGAAAUGUCACUUACUGUAGUUGAAAUACAGAAUGCCUGAGGAUGUCCUUUUUCCUUCCCUGGUUGUGUUUGUCUCAUACAUCCUGUCAGUGUGUGUGUGUGUGUGUGUGGGUGUGUGUGUGUGGUGGUGUGUGUGUGUGUGGGUUUGUGUGUGUGUGUGUGUGGGGUGUGUGUGUGUGUUGUGUGUGUGUGUGUGGUGUGUGUGUGUGUGUGUGGUUUGUGUGUGUGGUGUGUGGUGUGUGUGUGUUGUGUGUGGUGUGUGUGUGUGUGUGUGUGUGUGUGGGUUGUGGGUGUGUGGCGGGUGGGUUGUGUGUGUGUUGUGUACGUGUGUGCGUGUGUGUCCUCUCCUGCUCCUUGAUCCAACACUACUGGGAUCAGCUGAUUAUGCCAUCGCAUAUGAACACCUAUCCAGUAUAAUCAGACCCUUCGAUGAUGUGAUCUGUCAGGGACGGGGCCAAUAACAUUUGAAAGAGUGUGUGUGUGUGUGUGUGUUUUUCUCCGUGUCGUCUGGUGUUUGAGUUUGUUCUCUGUCAGAGCCAUUUACAAGUGCCUGAACGCAUCCUCUUUAUCUCCUUGUGUAUUUAAAUUGAAAAAUUAAAAGAAAUGACUCCCUGUAAUGAAUUAGACCCAUUUUUUACGCUUAGUAUUUUUACCUCUGUAAAAAAAGAGCAAAAAUUAUAUUAUAUAUAUAUAUCAAGUGUAUGUUGUACAUUUUUAUUUCUAUUUUGUUUUUUUAAAAUAACUGUUUCUAACAUGUACGAUGGAUGUAGCUCUUGCUUUCAAGAAGGAACAGGAAGUACUUUGUAGAUACUGAAGGGUGGCCAGGUCUGUGAGAAAACUAAAGUGACUUGUGUGUCUUACCUUCCGCCUCCAAUAAAAUGAGAAAACAGUGAAACCACA